rnacentral:rRNA from 1 species
UACAGAGGUCUCAAGCGUUGUUCGGAUUCAUUGGGCGUAAAGGGUGCGUAGGCGGCGCGGUAAGUCGGGCGUGAAAUCUCGGAGCUUAACUCCGAAACUGCAUUCGAUACUGCCGUGCUUGAGGACUGGAGAGGAGACUGGAAUUUACGGUGUAGCGGUGAAAUGCGUAGAUAUCGUAAGGAAGACCGGUGGCGAAGGCGGGUCUCUGGACAGUUCCUGACGCUGAGGCACGAAGGUCAGGGGAGCAAACGGG